GUCGACGAGGAUCUUCACGUGGUGUUUUUCUUUUACGUUGUUAGUUAAUUCUCGGCUCUGUGUGUUUACAAGGUGCAAGCUGGUAUAAGUUUUCGAUAGUUUUAUUUUCUGCAUUCUACAGACCAGUCUGAAUCAGAUGGCUUCUGUCGAUAGUCGUGUAGCUUCAUCAAACUCAGAAGAACACUCCGAAGAAAUAAAUGUUGAGGAAGAUGCUGCUGCAGGUACUUCCAGUGCUAAUGCCAAUCGUUGUAAAAAAGCUAGUGCUGGCAAACAAUCUACCACGGAAUCCGGAAAUAAACUGUUUUUGAAAAUUGAUCGAGAUCGAGAUCGAUUCGAUCAAUUCGAUCAAAAAAGAAUCGCGAUCGAUUUCGAUCAUUUCGAUCAAAAAUUUGGUGGGAUCGAGAUCGAGAUCAUCGAUUGCCAUUUGGUGAUCGAUGCCCAACACUGGAUGCCACACACGAGUGUUUAAAGUCUUACCGUCCACCAAAGCGCGAUGCUCCGAAAGCUGAUGAACCUGAACCAUUAUUCAAGAUCAGGAGAACAGCACCGAAGACAUCUACUCUGAUCGCCGAUGAACCUCAGUUUCCUACCGAAGAAAAGAUGAAAAUCGUGUUGGCUGUCUACUCCCAAAUUCUUGAUUCGGUGAAACUGGAAAGUAUUCCUGUCUCCCCGGAAGACAAGAAUGACGUGGAAAAGUUUUGGAUCGCACAUUCUCACCAGUUCUCCAUUCUUUCAAAAGUCGCAUUCAAAUUUACAUAGAUUCCAGCAACCUCUGCAUCCGUUGAGCGACUAUUUUCUCACAAUGGAUUGAAAAGCAAAGGGAGACGAGCCAAUAUUGGUCCUAGACUCCUUGAAGCCAAAACAUUGGCCACUUAUAAUCGCAAAUUCAGUAAAAGAGGAUCACAAAACAUUCCAAAGUCAAUUGAAAUGGUUCACAAAACCAACUUCAAUCACGGAACAAAAAAAAAUAAACAAAAUGAGACGAAAACGUAAAAUUUAUAAAUUUUUAUUAUUUAUUUAUUUAUCGAGUUAUAAUCGA